GCCGUUGGCGGCGGCGGUGGAGGACUGAUGGAGCCCACCGAAGUGGUGACGGUAGAAUUACCGUCAGAUUCAUCACCUCUACCGCUGCCGCCAAAAGUUUCCCCUAAUAGUAUUUUAGGGGAAAACAAAGAGGUCACAGUUUCGACUAAGCCCUCAAAAAUUUGAGCUUUGAUCUGACCUCUUUUCGGAAUAACUCCUCUGUUUUUUUGUUUCUGAUCGGAAGUCGGUAUUUUAGCUGCAGCCAUCGGAAAAUUAAAGAAGAAAAA